rnacentral:pre_miRNA from 1 species
UGUAGGUGCCCAUCAGUCGCUCAGUAGUCAGUGUAGAUUCUGUCUUUACAAUCAGCAGCUACAUCUGGCUACUGGGUCUCUGAUGACAUCUC